UUUUGUAUUUAAUUUAAAAUUAUUCCUUGAAUCAAUUAUUUGAAAUGCAUUAAUAUUGAAUAAAAUAUUUCUUGUUGUUAAAUUACUCUUUUCGUUCUUUAUUCGUUAACAUUUAAACUCGUAAUAUUGUGCUUGUCUUACAAUUAGUUGAAAGUUUAGUUCAUGCUUUCGUUGUACUGCCUCUUUUAAAAAAGCAAAUAUUAGCAAGUAAAGAUGACAUUUUUGUUAGGAAAUUAUGACCUUUUUUUUUAUUGAAGCACUUGAAAACGCCAAGUCAAAUCAUAGCGACGCUUUUAGCAUAAAAGCUAAGAUAAUAUGUAGUAAGACGAACUUAGUAGGAGUAUAUACGUGAUGUUGCUGUGUUGUUGGUUGCGCUUUUCGCGCAUUGAAAUUUCAUGCGUUCUGAUUUUUGGCUGUCGUAACUGGAUAUGUCUAAACUGUGGUUAAACAUUGUCUCUCUCUACCCUUGUGAUAUUGUAAAUGAUAUAAAGCUUUGUAAGAUAAUAUUUAAAUUUUAAUGUUUUUCUAUUGUCACGGUUGCAGCGACGUUUGUCGCAAACUAUCAUUUUCUUAAGCAUAAAAUUCUUUUCAAUUCUUGUAAAAUAAAAUUAAAGUUUCUGUACAGUUUUUCGUAUAAAUAUGUAUAUAUAUAAAUAUAUAUGUGUACAUACAUAAUCAAUGCCAAACAGAAACUUAUUUGAUGGAAACAUUGUGAAGUAAUAUCAUUUUUAAGGUUCCUGAAGGAUACAAAUUUAGAUUCAGGAAUAUAAUAAGACCAGGUUGACGAUUGAAAGUUAAAAGUGUAUAAAAUUUAAAAAUCCAAAUUUUCAUUGAACAUAAACAGGAUACACAACGUACCAGGAGCAUGUUUGCAUAGAUUAAUUACCCGCUUAUACUUGAGUAACUUCGGGCAAGUGUUUAAUGCAAGCACAUAAUGUCAAUAAAUUCGCCAAAUGGUGCAAAAUUAUUUGUAUUGCCGUACAAUUAUAAAAACUGGAAAUGUUUAAUUUCUUCCACUUUAUAAUCUGUCCUCUUAUUAUAUAGAGAUGCAGCCCUAUAUUAUAUCAAGGAAAAAAAGCUAUUGUUUAAUAUAAACUUAUAUACAGGUACCUAUCAAAAUAAGUAGAAUAGUCAACCGAUUCGUACGAUAACAAGAAAUUUCAGGUCCCGUUGAAAAAAAAA